rnacentral:rRNA from 1 species
UUAGAUACCCUGGUAGUCCACGCCGUAAACGAUGAGUGCUAAGUGUUAGGGGGUUUCCGCCCCUUAGUGCUGCAGCUAACGCAUUAAGCACUCCGCCUGGGGAGUACGGUCGCAAGACUGAAACUCAAAGGAAUUGACGGGGGCCCGCACAAGCGGUGGAGCAUGUGGUUUAAUUCGAAGCAACGCGAAGAACCUUACCAGGUCUUGACAUCCCGCCGACCGCCUAGGAGACUAGGCCUUCCCUUCGGGGACGGCGGUGACAGGUGGUGCAUGGUUGUCGUCAGCUCGUGUCGUGAGAUGUUGGGUUAAGUCCCGCAACGAGCGCAACCCUUGAUCUUAGUUGCCAGCAUUCAGUUGGGCACUCUAAGGUGACUGCCGGUGACAAACCGGAGGAAGGUGGGGAUGACGUCAAAUCAUCAUGCCCCUUAUGACCUGGGCUACACACGUGCUACAAUGGAUGGUACAAAGGGCUGCGAACCCGCGAGGGGGAGCCAAUCCCAUAAAACCAUUCUCAGUUCGGAUUGUAGGCUGCAACUCGCCUACAUGAAGCUGGAAUCGCUAGUAAUCGUGGAUCAGCAUGCCACGGUGAAUACGUUCCCGGGCCUUGUACACACCGCCCGUCACACCACGAGAGUUUGUAACACCCGAAGUCGGUGGGGUAACCUUUAUGGGGCCAGCCGCCGAAGGUGGGACAGAUGAUUGGGGUGAGUCAUACAAAGGGGAACCACAUUGGAAGGUCCUUCUCCCCCCUCUUUGGGGCUGAAGCUCCACGCGUUUCCAACGCCCCUCGGGGAGUGAGC